UCCGGUUUGUCACCGGCAGUCAUCUUAGAGUGCCCACCCUUACGUGCUGGCAACUAAGAUCAAGGGUUGCGCUCGUUGCGGGACUUAACCCAACAUCUCACGACACGAGCUGACGACAACCAUGCACCACCUGUCUCCUUUGUCCCGAAGGAAAGCCCUAUCUCUAGGACGGUCAGAGGGAUGUCAAGACCUGGUAAGGUUCUUCGCAUUGCUUCGAAUUAAACCACAUACUCCACUGCUUGUGCGGGUCCCCGUCAAUUCCUUUGAGUUUCAGUCUUGCGACCGUACUCCCCAGGCGGUAUACUUAACGCGUUAGCUCCGGCACAACUGGGGUUGAGUCCAGUUACACCAAGUAUACAUCGUUUACAGCAAGGACUAC
rnacentral:misc_RNA from 1 species